rnacentral:rRNA from 1 species
CCUACGGGCGGCAGCAGUGGGGAAUAUUGGACAAUGGGGGGAACCCUGAUCCAGCCAUGCCGCGUGUGUGAAGAAGGCCCUCGGGUUGUAAAGCACUUUCAGUGAGGAAGAACGCCUGGUGGUUAAUACCCAUCAGGAAAGACAUCACUCACAGAAGAAGCACCGGCUAACUCCGUGCCAGCAGCCGCGGUAAUACGGAGGGUGCGAGCGUUAAUCGGAAUUACUGGGCGUAAAGCGCGCGUAGGUGGCUUGAUAAGCCGGUUGUGAAAGCCCCGGGCUCAACCUGGGAACGGCAUCCGGAACUGUCAAGCUAGAGUGCAGGAGAGGAAGGUAGAAUUCCCGGUGUAGCGGUGAAAUGCGUAGAGAUCGGGAGGAAUACCAGUGGCGAAGGCGGCCUUCUGGACUGACACUGACACUGGGGUGCGAAAGCGUGGGUAGCAAACAGGAUUAGAUACCCCAGUAGUC